ACACUCCUGCGGGAGGCAGCAGUGGGGAAUAUUGCACAAUGGGCGCAAGCCUGAUGCAGCCAUGCCGCGUGUAUGAAGAAGGCCUUCGGGUUGUAAAGUACUUUCAGCGGGGAGGAAGGCGAUAAGGUUAAUAACCUUGUCGAUUGACGUUACCCGCAGAAGAAGCACCGGCUAACUCCGUGCCAGCAGCCGCGGUAAUACGGAGGGUGCAAGCGUUAAUCGGAAUUACUGGGCGUAAAGCGCACGCAGGCGGUCUGUCAAGUCGGAUGUGAAAUCCUCGGGCUCAACCUGGGAACUGCAUUCGAAACUGGCAGGCUAGAGUCUUGUAGAGGGGGGUAGAAUUCCAGGUGUAGCGGUGAAAUGCGUAGAGAUCUGGAGGAAUACCGGUGGCGAAGGCGGCCCCCUGGACAAAGACUGACGCUCAGGUGCGAAAGCGUGGGGAGCAAACAGGAUUAGAAACCCCAGUAGUCCCAUG
rnacentral:rRNA from 1 species